rnacentral:rRNA from 1 species
GCCCGCUCAGAAACUUAAAGGAAUUGACGGGGACCCGCACAAGCAGCGGAGCAUGUGGUUUUAAUUCGAAGCAACGCGAAGAACCUUACCAGGUCUUGACAUCCUCUGACAGUCUGAGAGAUCAGACUUUCCCUUCGGGGACAGAGAGACAGGUGGUGCAUGGUUGUCGUCAGCUCGUGUCGUGAGAUGUUGGGUUAAGUCCCGCAACGAGCGCAACCCUUAUGUUUAGUUGUCAGCAGGUAAAGCUGGACCCUCUAGACAGACUGCCGGGGAUAACUCGGAGGAAGGUGGGGAUGACGUCAAAUCAUCAUGCCCCUUAUGAUCUGGGCUACACACGUGCUACAAUGGCCGGUACAACGGGCAGCGAAGGAGUGAUCUGGAGCGAAUCCUAUAAAAGCCGGUCCCAGUUCGGAUUGUAGGCUGCAACUCGCCUACAUGAAGUUGGAGUUGCUAGUAAUCGCGGAUCAGAAUGUCGCGGUGAAUGCGUUCCCGGGUCUU